rnacentral:rRNA from 1 species
UACGAAGGGUGCAAGCGUUACUCGGAAUUACUGGGCGUAAAGCGCGCGUAGGUGGUUUCUUAAGUCUGCUGUGAAAGCCCCGGGCUCAACCUGGGAAUUGCAGUGGAUACUGGGGAGCUAGAGUGCGGUAGAGGGUAGUGGAAUUCCCGGUGUAGCGGUGAAAUGCGUAGAGAUCGGGAGGAACACCAGUGGCGAAGGCGGCUACCUGGACCAGCACUGACACUGAGGCACGAAAGCGUGGGGAGCAAACAGG